rnacentral:lncRNA from 13 species
AUGGUGCCCUACUCUUGUGAGGACAGUUCCAGUUGUGCCCAUACAACCUCCAGUCAGUCCUACUACCAUGGGCUUGUCACUGACUGCCUGUCUGGGCCUGGGUUUAACUCGCUGGAUCUCCCCUCCAGGCCAGAGGGUGCUCCCUCCCCCAGCCCCAGGAUUGAGAUCACCCCAUCUGGGGACCCUCACCAGACUCAGCGCCUGGAUGCCAGCCCCAGAUCGACGGCCCUGUCUGUGUCUGGCUAUGAGAAUACAGCCUAUCGAGAGCCUCAGUGCCCAAGCCCUGCCAGAAGCAACUCCUCCACGGGCUGGCUGUCCGAGUCUUGUUCUCCCUGGGUCUCUCCUUGUGUAUCUCCCAGUGGUGAUGGGGGGGGGGCGGUAGGCUUGACCACCUUGGACCACUUCCAAGGCAUCCACAUGUCCAUGGCUCACUCCUCCCCAGGGACCUCCCCGUGCACCAGCAUCACAGAGGAGACAUUCCUGGUACUGCAGAGUCAGCGGUCAUCCUCCCCCCACUCCCAUACCCACCCGCGCUCUCACUCCGCCUCUCCUCAGGGCAAACGCACCUAUGACCAGUACAGCGGCCCCAGCCUGGGGACCACCAGCCAGCAGCAGAGCUCCCGGAGCCUCAGCCCCUCGCCCCACCACCCCCAAGGACCCCAGGCUCAGGCUGACCCACAGGCCAAUGCCCCUGAGCAGACUCCCAGCUUUGAAGAGGUGUUGAGCAGCCCCAGUUCCAGCCUGCCCAGGGCGGUGCCCUCCACGAUGGUGCAGCCCAAGGAGGAGUGCUACACGUACAGAGAGAGCCAGGGGGAUGGCUAUGUGCACCUCAUGGAGCAGGGGAGGAGAGGCAAAGCUGGGGCUGAGACCUACAUCCUCCCUACAUCUGUCUGGCCAGUUCCACUAGCCCACGGAGCAAUCAGAUUUGCAAUUGCCCAGUCACUCAGACCAAUAUGAGCUGUGUCUGGAGCACCGUGCCCACUAUGAGACAUAGGGCAGCAGGGGAGCAGUCAAAGCACCUGGUGGAGGACACACUGUGGUUCAGGUACUGGGUGUGGGGAGGGGAGGUGUGUGUUUAAUCUAGGUAUGUAUGUUUGUGGGGAUGGGUUUUGACAAUGUGCCUCUGUGGAUGUUUGAGUGUGUAAAUGUAUAGUGCAGCUUGAUCUCCCAUGUGUAUAAAUAUGUGUCUGUGGUGGUGUUUCCUUGUCAUUGUGUCACCCUGUUUGUCUCAGGUGCCCAGCUGCAAUAUGUAAAUGAACAUCCUUGUAUCAGCCUGCGUUAUUAUGACUACACCCAUUCAACCACAAAACCAGCACAGCACAGUUAAACCAACAUAGGGUGUUUUCACAUAUGAAAUCCUGGAGUGUUUGUGAGAAUUAUACAAAAUAAGUUUAGCUUUUACAAGACCUGACAAUAAUUGUUUCAGGGUAGGAUUUGCAAGAUGCUCAUUCUACAUGACGUUAGCAAGCUAGCUUGUUUGUAACGAGCAAAAAAGUUACAUGCGAUUCGCACUGCCCCUCACAAUACCUAGUACUCUGAUCUUGGACUCACUACUCACACAUGCUUUAUAGCACAGAUCAGCGUACCAAACACGCUUGGAUCCAGAUCAUACAGGGGAUUAGUGAAAGCGCCCAUACUCUCAUGCACUCAUCUUUACAAUAAGUUAUUUAGUACAAUGUUCUAUUCAAGUAGUUUGAGAGGAAGAGUACAUGAGUCUUAAGUAAAGGAGACUCCCUGUUUAGUAAGUUGAUUUGUGAUAUAGCAUCUCACACUCAAAACCUGCUGGAAUCAUCCUUUACUGAUGUAAAGGUGAACCCUUUCAACUUAUCUCAUCCCCAGCAGGCUCAAGCAAUUGAGCCUUGGAUCGAGGUUAACUUUCAUCUGAUGGAAAAUCCGGUAGAAGAUAUUUCAGGGACAUAUUGACUAAGCCAUGUUGGUUUUGAUGUAUAGUUACUAAAUUAAUGAGCGGUCUUCUCAUUCCGUGACGUGAAAGCCAAGGAAUUUCUGGGUCCAGGGCAACAGUAGCAACGCUAACCAUCCGCUAAUCAUCAGCCAUCCUCAUCAUAUGCAAAUAAUUAUGUCAGAGUUGGCCUUUCGUAACCUAAUGAAGUAAUUUUCCUUCAUGAUGUAAUGGAUAAGAACUGUGAUAUUGUUGAGUAUUUAUCCC